GUGGGGAAUUUUGGACAAUGGGCGAAAGCCUGAUCCAGCCAUGCCGCGUGCAGGAUGAAGGCCUUCGGGUUGUAAACUGCUUUUGUACGGAACGAAAAGACUCCUUCUAAUAAAGGGGGUCCAUGACGGUACCGUAAGAAUAAGCACCGGCUAACUACGUGCCAGCAGCCGCGGUAAUACGUAGGGUGCAAGCGUUAAUCGGAAUUACUGGGCGUAAAGCGUGCGCAGGCGGUUAUAUAAGACAGAUGUGAAAUCCCCGGGCUCAACCUGGGAACUGCAUUUGUGACUGUAUAGCUAGAGUACGGUAGAGGGGGAUGGAAUUCCGCGUGUAGCAGUGAAAUGCGUAGAUAUGCGGAGGAACACCGAUGGCGAAGGCAAUCCCCUGGACCUGUACUGACGCUCAUGCACGAAAGCGUGGGGAGCAAACAGGAUUAGAUACCCUGGUAUCC
rnacentral:rRNA from 1 species